rnacentral:tRNA from 1 species
GGGAAUGUGGUCUAGUGGUAUGCUCCAUCUGAAGCUGCCAUCUCAGCUGUUGCUAAUUAAAAUAGGUAUGAUACUUGCUUCGGGAGACUGUCCCCUCUUGUACAAAGAGAAUGCGAGUGGUUGAGGGUUCGAUUCCCUCCAUUCCCC